rnacentral:siRNA from 1 species
AGUCGGUUUUGAUAGGUA